UGUGUGCCCUUGUAACCGUAAAACAUCUUUCUCCAUGGGUGUUUCAGCUUCAACUGACCAAUCACAUAACAGUUAUAUGUUUGGGGGGGGGAGAAAAGUCUAUACAAAUGUAGCCCAUUACCUAUAUGGGUCUGAAAGCAGAAAAGUGGAGGAGGCAAGGAUAUCUCAUUGACAAACACCUUUGCCAGUUUCUUUGUAUUCGUGAUUUUUUGUGCUAUUAAAUGCAGUAUUAAAAAAAAGAAAAGCCCAUGAGGCUAGUGAAAGGUGAAGAAGGAAGGGGGCUUGUAUAAGGGGAGCAAUUGCUCCAAGUGUAGAGAAGACAAAAAAAAAUACUGUAAGAUAAGCAACCAACACAGACAGGCCUCAGCUAAGAGUAUAGUGUGUGAGUGUUUAAAAAAAAGCUGUAUGAUAUACUUGAGCAAAUCAAUGAACCUCUUUGCGAUUGUUUUCUCAUCUGUACAAUGCAGAUAAUUCCUACCUUAAAGGGUUAUUGUUAAAGAUUAAACGAUAUAAAAUGUGUCUAAGUAUCAAGUAAAAGGCUUGGAACUUUGUAGGGGCUCAGUAAACGUUUGUUGGAUCUGAAACUUCUUCGGACCAGGACCAGAAUGCAUCAGAGGUGAGGGUUGGUCCAACCUGAGACCCAUGGACAGAAUGGACACACCUCGUGUCACAUGCAGUCACUCACGCACAUACACACACAUGCACACACACUUAACGACUCCCUCCCCAACACUGUCUACUUGGAGCUCCAAGGCAAUGGAUUCCACCUUUGUCCCUAUGUAAGGGCAUCACAACCAGUGCCACACCGGGGCGUGGGGGGAGAACUACAACUGUCUCCCAAAGGCCUUCUGUCCAUUUGGAAGACCAUCCUGUUGUUUCCAUGACUAAGCACCCUGAUGAGGGGACUCUCAGGACCAGUAGGCUGCCAGGCCUCUGAAUGAGGGUGUUUGCUAGUCUUUGCCUUCCACAAUCAUGUGUGGGCUGUCACAUUCACCUGCAGGCCUGGAUCAGUUGAAAGACUAUUUUCCAAAGCUCACUGGUCCACCAGCCCAAGGAGAUCGAUGGAGUGGCACAUUGGCCUCUUCCCUGAUUCUCCCAGAGGGCAGAACAGCCUGCAGAGGGCUAAGCCAGAACAGAUGGGAUGUGCCCAGGAGGGGGUAAGCAUUGAUGGUUCCUUCUUUUCUCCCCGGCAUCAGGUACAAAAGUAUCUAUAACCUAGAAAAUCUUUUUAGGGAGGGGGGAGACUAUCAGACCCAUGGGGCUUGGAUCCACUGGCUCUGGUAAAAGGCUGGCUCCCCCCACCCCCACCUACAGGGCUUCCCAAAUCUACUUCAUGUUCCACUCAUUUGGAAAAUAUACGUUUAUGAAUGUGGUUGGGGAUGCAUCCCCAGCUAGCUCAUAGAUGUUGUUUAGGACAGGGGUUGUGUCUCCUCUUGGACCCUAGGCUGCACACUCAGCCCCUAGCACAGUUCCUGGUGCAUAGUAAGUAGACAGUCAAAACACGUACCGAUGAAUCAAUGAACCAAUGCACCUUCCUUUCAUAAGCAAAAUUUUGCCACCACCCGGGGCCCAAGAUCCUCAAAAUAUAUAAAAGUGUUACCUUUGGUAUCUUGGAGGAAGGGGGAGAUCCAGGGAUGAGUGGCCUCAGGUGCCACUUGGCAAAUCAGUGCAGGGUAUCUGAUUAUUUUUUUGGGAUGUGUCUGGUAGGGCUGCCUGGGAAGACAGCCAUGUCCUCAUUCCUCCUCUCUGCCAUAGGUAGCGUUCAGUAAGGCAUGUGCCACCAGAUUCUGACUGCUUGCAGAAACUAUCUUUGACAUUUUUAAGCUUUUUUAUUUGGAAAUAUUUUAAACGUAGAGGAAAGUUGCAAAAAUAAAAAUAGUAUAAAGAACAUCUGUAUGCCAGAUUCACCUAUUGCUAACAGUUUUUACCCCGUUUACUUUAUUGUUUACGUGAAUGCACACCCUCAUAAGUGUGUGUGUGUGUGUGUGUGUGUGUGUGUGUGUGUGUGUGUGUGUAUGUGUGUGUCUGGACCAUAUGAUGGUAGAUUACAUGCAUCAUAACCCUUCAUGACUAAUGUACUUCAUGCAUUGCCUAAAGAUAGGCAUGUUCUCUACAUUGAUGCAAUACUAGUAUCUAAUCUACCAUUAGCACUUCAAAUUUAUCUGCUGGCACAAUGAUGUCCUUUACAGCAUUUCCUUGUCCAUCAUAGGAUCUGGUCUAGGGUGAGGUAUUGCUUUUAGUUGUCAGGUUUAACCUGGAACAUUUCCACAAACUUACUUUGUCUUGUAUGGCAUUAGCAUUUUUAAUACAAUGCUCCUCAUUUUGGGUUUGUCUGAUACAGAAACUGUCUUUUAAAUACCCUGCACUCAGGAAUAGUUCUAAGAGAUAUGAAUGGCGCGAGACUGCUGAAGCUGACCUCCCUGUCUCCGCUGGUGGAAGGCACAGACCACCAGAGGGAGCAGCUGUGCCUGGCACCUCCUGAUUGAAGCACGCACCACCUCUGGGAAACACCAUUGUCCCUCAGCAACAGGGGAGCCAUUCAAGCCCAGCCCAAUGCCCCUACCUGUCACCAACCCCCAAAUUGAGCCAUGGAGUGUAACAACAGCAGCCAGGGCCUGCUUUCAGAUCACACCACCGUGGGACCCAGGGAAUCAUGUAUUCAGCAGGGAAUCCUGAUCAGGGAUGCCAUCAACCAAGAGGUCUUUUCCAAUCAAGAAACAGAAUGGCCCCCACACAACUCAUGUUGUCAUAAUGCAGUAGACCUGAUGCCAGGAACCCGUGUUUGCACCAAAUGUACACUCACACCCAGAAGUGAAGGCCUAGGUCCUCUGAGAGUAUGAAGUUCAGCGCCCACAGUGUAUGUCAUUACACACUGUCCUUUCCCUGUAGUUGACCCAAUACCAUUUUUUUAAACUCAUGUAUCAAAGUAUGUCAGAUAUAUAGGAAAAUGCACAUAUCAUAAGGGUACAACUUGAUGAAUUUCUGGAAAAUGAACAGAGCCCUGCAAACAACAUCCAGAUCAAGAAACAGAACAUUAUCCAUAAGUCAGGCCCCACUUCUGCUUCCUUCCAGUCAAUAACCCCAAAAAGCAAACCCUAUCCUGACUUCUUUCACUGUAGAUCAGUGUUGCCUUUUUUAUGCCUUCUAUAAAAGGAAUGGUUCAGUA